rnacentral:rRNA from 1 species
AGAACGAACGCUGGCGGCAUGCCUAAUACAUGCAAGUCGAACGAACUCUUCGGAGUUAGUGGCGCACGGGUGCGUAACGCGUGGGAAUCUGCCCCUUGGUUCGGAAUAACAGUUGGAAACGACUGCUAAUACCGGAUGAUGACGAAAGUCCAAAGAUUUAUCGCCAAGGGAUGAGCCCGCGUAGGAUUAGCUAGUUGGUGAGGUAAAGCUCACCAAGGCAACGAUCCUUAGCUGGUCUGAGAGGAUGGAUCAGCCACACGUGGACUGACGACG